UACGGAGGAUGCGAGCGUUAUUCGGAUUUAUUGGGUUUAAAGGGUGCGUAGGCGGGCUUUUAAGUCAGCGGUAAAAAUUCGGGGCUCAACCCCGUCCGGCCGUUGAAACUGGGGGCCUUGAGUGGGCGAGAAGAAGGCGGAAUGCGUGGUGUAGCGGUGAAAUGCAUAGAUAUCACGCAGAACCCCGAUUGCGAAGGCAGCCUUCCGGCGCCCUACUGACGCUGAGGCACGAAAGUGCGGGGAUCGAACAGG
rnacentral:rRNA from 1 species